rnacentral:rRNA from 1 species
AUGAACGCUGGCGGCGUGCCUAACACAUGCAAGUCGAACGGGACUAUCAAGUGAUGUUUCGGACUGAACUUUUAGUUUAGUGGCGGACGGGUGAGUAACGCGUGGACAACCUGCCUCUCACUGGGGGAUAGCAGCUGGAAACGGCUGGUAAUACCGCAUGCGUUCAAUGUGCCGCAUGACACAUUGAAGAAAGAUUUAUCGGUGAGAGAUGGGUCCGCGUCUGAUUAGCCAGUUGGCGGGGUAACGGCCCACCAAAGCAACGAUCAGUAGCCGGCCUGAGAGGGCGGACGGCCACAUUGGGACUGAGACACGGCCCAGACUCCUACGGGAGGCAGCAGUGGGGGAUAUUGCACAAUGGGCGCAAGCCUGAUGCAGCGACGCCGCCGUGAGUGAAGAAGUAUUUCGGUAUGUAAAGCUCUAUCAGCAGGGAAGAAAGGCCCGCAAGGGAGAUGACGGUACCUGACUAAGAAGCCCCGGCUAACUACGUGCCAGCAGCCGC